rnacentral:antisense_RNA from 1 species
AAGGACUGUGCUCCCAAUCCGCUUAUGCUCAAGGAAGAACUGGAAGGCCCAGAACCAGCCUGAUGUCAGGAUCAGAACAAAAGAGGAGGACUGCAUAUGUAUGGACCCACUCCAGAUGGCACGGGGACGGGGGGGAGUAGGAAAAGUGGCAUGGUCCCUUCCCGUGGGUAUACUUCUUCCCAGGCCUGUUGUGUGAGUUGGUGUUGCCAUCAUUCCUGCCCCACACUUGCAAACUUCCCUUUGGAAUUUCAGAGACCAGGCCCACAGAGUAUGGCUGUGCAAGUUGUUUACUGUACGAGGGCACCUGGCCGGGGUCUUACCUUGAAUGGGGGAGAAGAGCUUGAAGAUGAGGGGACAGGCCAAGACAACUACCUGGCCCCGAGGGGUGGCUGGCCAGCAGAUGAGGGAAUGGAGGCACAGACUGAUUAGAAAACCAGCUCAAGGUCAUGUUGCUGGGCUCUCUGGUGGAGCCUGUCUCACAGGCCACCUGCAGGCCAACACUCCCAGAAGCAGCUAGCACCAUGGUUGACCUCGUCCAGGUCCAGGGAAGGCCUCCCUCUCCAGGACUCCUUUAGAUUUCCCCAGCAUCCAGACCUCACCUGCCAAAGUGCCGUAGCCCUGGAAGCCACACAGUGAGCACGAGCUCCAUCUUGCACCUUUACCAGCCGAUGAGGGUAAAGACAUUAGCUGAAAUACUUCUAAGGGGCCAGGCGUGGUGACUCACGCUUGUAAUUCCAAGCACUUUGGCAGGCUGAGGCAGGUGGAUCACCUGAAGCCAGGAGUUCAAGAGCAGCCUGGCCAACAUGGCAAAACCCUGUCUAUACUAAAAAUACAAAAAUUAGCCAGGCAUGGUGGCGGGAGCCUGUAAUCUCAGCUCCUAGGGAGGCUGAGCCAGGAGAAUCGCUUAAACCUGGAAGCUGGAGGUUGCAGUGAGCCAAGAUCACACCACCACACUCCAGCCUGGGUGACAGAGCAAGACUCCAUCU